CUGCUACUUGGGGAGUACGUCCGCAAGGAUGAAACUUAAAGGAAUUGGCGGGGGAGCACCGCAACGGGAGGAACGUGCGGUUUAAUUGGAUUCAACACCGGGAAAACUCACCAGCAGCGACUAUUACAUGAAAGUCAGGCCGAUGACCUUACUAGAUUUUUAGAGAGGUGGUGCAUGGCCGUCGUCAGUUCGUACCGUAAGGCGUUCUCUUAAGUGAGAUAACGAACGAGACCCUCACCAAUAAUUGCUACUGCGUCGUCCGCGGCGUAGGCACAUUAUUGGGACCGCUGGCGCUGGGUCAGAGGAAGGAGAGGUCAACGGUAGGUCAGUAUGCCCCGAAUCUGCUGGGCUACACGCGCGUUACAAAGGGCGGGACAAUGGGCUCCGACACCGAAAGGUGAAGGUAAUCUCGAAACCCGUCCGUAGUUCGGAUUGAGGGUUGUAACUCACCCUCAUGAAGCUGGAUUCCGUAGUAAUCGCGAAUCAACAACUCGCGGUGAAUAUGCCCCUG
rnacentral:rRNA from 1 species